rnacentral:lncRNA from 1 species
UAUCUAAAAUUUAAAUUUAAUUUAUACAAUUACAAAUAUAAAGUUUAAACUCAAGUUAAAUUUUAAAUUUGAAUUUAUGAAGAUUUAUCACAAUCAAAUUAGCCAUUAUCUAAUUUGGUAGGUAACAAAAUUAAAUUAGAAAAUGAAGAUUUGUUGGAUAUUAUCAAAUUUGGCAAUUAGCUAAUAUAUAUUUUUAAAUAUUAUCUUUACGAUUGAUUGAUAACCUGUUGAGCAGGUUACCAUUGCAAAAGUCAAUCUUAGCCUCAAAAAUUUGAAUGCUCAGAUUUAAAUUGGCCAGUGUAUUGAAGCAUUUCUUUAUAAAAUAAGUCAAAAAAAUAGGAAUCUUCUCAAAAUUAUCUUUUUAGGGGAGAACUAUUUUAUUUUUCAAAAAAAGAAAAUUAUUUUUUGGAUGAAAAAUUGGAAAACUUUUUUUUUUUUGAAAAA